rnacentral:tRNA from 1 species
GGUUGUGGCUCAGUGUUAAGGCACUUGCCUAGCGUGUGUGAGGCACUGGGUUCAAUUCUCAGCACCA